UGCUUCGUAAGAGGAGUAGAUGGCUUUUUUGUUGAUGCUGAUGAGUGGUUAACUUGUUGCUGAGGUUUAUCCUCUAAUACACCUCAGUUCAACCCUUUAGCAACAAAAGCAGCCACCAUAAGUUUGUCAGCAUUUGGACUGGGAGAGCCAUUUGGCUUUGUUAACUUCUCUGAGAAGUGGAAGAAGCAGAAGAAGUCUGAGCCGUCCAGCAAGAGGGAACCCUCUUCUGAGAUAAUUGUUUGAGAUAUUGCAUCAGUGUCAUUCUAUAAACCUCACUUGAAAGUUGUGACAAGCAUCAAUGUAGAGGAAAUAAUUUGACAAGCAACGGUCCAAUCCGGCAACUCACAGAAGAAUAUAAAGGAAAUGUAUCAAAACACGAGGCACUGGGAAAUGCUGGGUUAGAAACAAGAAACUGCCCAAUUGGCAAGACCUACAAAGCAGUGAGCCGUGUUCUCCCUCUCGUGGCAACAGCUCCUCAGCCACCACCUAGUAUGAAGUUUAGAUGCCCUCCGGCUGUAGUUGCUGCAAGUAGGUUAUUAUAGAUUUUUUUUAGUUUAAAUUUGUGUUUUUAUUUUUAUUUUUAUAGACUUUAUUAUAUAAUGGGUCAAACGGGUCGUGUCGUGUCAACUUGUUAUUUAAGUGGAUCGUGUUAGGGUUAAAGAGUCUAACCUUUUUAGUUAAACGGAUCGUGUUAGGGUUGACCCUUAACGGGUUCACGGGUCAAACGAGUUGACUCGAACCCGACAUGCGAACCCAUUUUGAUAGCCCUAGUUGCAAGGGCUGCCCUGUGCAGGAUUGCCCUUGUUAAAAAUUUAUGCCCUCAGCCUCUAUCUGCUAAAACUCAUCAAUCUUGUGAAUAAUCUUUCUAGUGGGAGUCUGUAACGUGAAUGAUUUUACAAAUACUUAGAGUCUGUUUGGGUUUGCGAUUUCAAAAAGUGCGAUUUAAAAUCACGAUUUUAAAAUGUGCGAUUUAAAAAAAGUGAUUUUUAA